rnacentral:lncRNA from 1 species
CCAAUGGACGUAAUCCACUAAACCCAAGCAAGCCUAUUAUUUAUCUUACUUAUGAUUCUAUUUAUUAUCACUAAGUCCUAUUUCAUGACCUUGAGUCAAAAUAGUGAUAUACAUUGCCAACUCGUACUGGCAUUACUCUUUUAGAAUUUACAUUUAAGUUAAUUUUUAGAAUUUACAUUUAAGUUCAUCUAUACAUAACAAAAUAAUACCCGACCUCCAGCGGAGUGACUCGGAUGGAUAUACAGCUACCGAAUGC